UACGGGGGGGGCAAGCGUUGUUCGGAAUUACUGGGCGUAAAGGGUUUGUAGGCGGCUUGUUAAGUCAGAUGUGAAAUCCCUCAGCUUAACUGGGGAACUGCGUCUGAUACUGGCGAGCUUGAGUGCAGGAGAGGAACGCGGAAUUCCAGGUGUAGCGGUGAAAUGCGUAGAUAUCUGGAGGAACACCGGUGGCGAAGGCGGCGUUCUGGACUGCAACUGACACUGAGAAACGAAAGCCAGGGUAGCAAACGGG
rnacentral:rRNA from 1 species